UAGGGAAUCUUCGGCAAUGGACGAAAGUCUGACCGAGCAACGCCGCGUGAGUGAAGAAGGUUUUCGGAUCGUAAAACUCUGUUGUUAGAGAAGAACAAGGACGUUAGUAACUGAACGUCCCCUGACGGUAUCUAACCAGAAAGCCACGGCUAACUACGUGACAGCAGCCGCGGUAAUACGUAGGUGGCAAGCGUUGUCCGGAUUUAUUGGGCGUAAAGCGAGCGCAGGCGGUUUCUUAAGUCUGAUGUGAAAGCCCCCGGCUCAACCGGGGAGGGUCAUUGGAAACUGGGAGACUUGAGUGCAGAAGAGGAGAGUGGAAUUCCAUGUGUAGCGGUGAAAUGCGUAGAUAUAUGGAGGAACACCAGUGGCGAAGGCGGCUCUCUGGUCUGUAACUGACGCUGAGGCUCGAAAGCGUGGGGAGCAAACAGG
rnacentral:rRNA from 1 species